UCUGCCUACGGGAGGCAGCAGUGAGGAAUAUUGGUCAAUGGGCGAGAGCCUGAACCAGCCAAGUCGCGUGAGGGAAGACGGUCCUAUGGAUUGUAAACCUCUUUUGCCGGGGAGCAAAAAGCGGUACGUGUACCGCAUCGAGAGUACCCGGAGAAAAAGCAUCGGCUAACUCCGUGCCAGCAGCCGCGGUAAUACGGAGGAUCCGAGCGUUAUCCGGAUUUAUUGGGUUUAAAGGGUGCGCAGGCGACGUGUUAAGUCAGGGGUAAAAUUU
rnacentral:rRNA from 1 species